rnacentral:rRNA from 1 species
ACUAGAGUAGCACUCGCAUAUCAAUAAGCGGAGGAAAAGAAACUAACAAGGAUUCCCUUAGUAACGGCGAGUGAAGCGGGAAGAGCUCAAAUUUGAAAUCUUCAAGGUUCUACCUUGACGAAUUGUAGUUUAUAGAAGUGUUUUCUGUUAGUAGGAGUGGCAUAAGUUCUUUGGAAUAGGACAUCAUAGAGGGUGAGAAUCCCGUAUUUGGUCAUUCCUCCUAGCGUUGUGAUACACUUUCAACGAGUCGGAUUGUUUGGGAAUGCAGUCCAAAAUGGGUGGUAAAUUUCAUCUAAAGCUAAAUAUUGGCGAGAGACCGAUAGCGAACAAGUACCGUGAGGGAAAGAUGAAAAGAACUUUGAAAAGAGAGUUAAACAGUACGUGAAAUUGUCAAAAGGGAAGCGUUUGACACCAGUGUUGUUUUUCCGAAAAUCAAUUACGAAUGUUUUGUUUUUGAGGAGUUAUGACUUCAUCGGCUUGCUCCUUUCUUUAUGAAACUUUCUUAAUGCACUUUUCGGUUAACAAGUCAACAUCAAUCUCUUUUGUUGUAAAAGGGUAUGAGGAAGGUGGCUUUCUUUUCGGAGAAAGUGUUUAUAGCCUUGUGCCUCUGCAAUCGGAGAGAUUGAGGUCUGCAGCGUAGAUCCUUCGGGGUUAGAUACAUUUGUGCUAAGUUAUAGCUUUUCAUAGACAACUUGUUGACUAUGUUUAGUCUUGUAGCUUACUCGCUUAUGCUAUUUUACCUACGCUUAGGAUGUUGAAGAUGUAGCACAUCAU